rnacentral:rRNA from 1 species
GUGGGGAAUUUUGGACAAUGGGGGAAACCCUGAUCCAGCCAUGCCGCGUGCGGGAUGAAGGCCUUCGGGUUGUAAACCGCUUUUGUCAGAGACGAAAAGGGACGUACGAAUAAUACGUUCCGCUGACGGUAUCUGAAGAAUAAGCACCGGCUAACUACGCGCCAGCAGCCGCGGUAAUACGUAGGGUGCAAGCGUUAAUCGGAAUUACUGGGCGUAAAGGGUGCGCAGGCGGCUGUGCAAGACAGAUGUGAAAUCCCCGGGCUUAACCUGGGAACUGCAUUUGUGACUGCACGGCUAGAGUUUGUCAGAGGAGGGUGGAAUUCCGCGUGUAGCAGUGAAAUGCGUAGAUAUGCGGAAGAACACCAAUGGCGAAGGCAGCCCUCUGGGACAUGACUGACGCUCAUGCACGAAAGCGUGGGGAGCAAACAGGAUUAGAAACCCCAGUAGUCC